rfam:Trichomonas vaginalis G3, whole genome shotgun sequence.
GCGCCAUUGGUGUAGCGGUUAGCAUGUGGGUUUCCCAAACCUAUGAUCCGGAUUCGAUUCCCGGGUGGCGCA